ensembl:Y_RNA Y_RNA Y RNA
GGCUGGUCCAAUGGUAGUGGGUUAUCAGAACUUAUUAACAUUAGUGUCACUGAAGUUGGUAUACAACCACCCAUUGCUAAAUUUGACUGGCUUUUU